rnacentral:rRNA from 1 species
CUAUGCGCCUUGCCAGCCCGCUCAGGUGUGCCAGCAGCCGCGGUAAUACGGAGGAUGCGAGCGUUAUCCGGAUUUAUUGGGUUUAAAGGGUGCGUAGGCGGGCAUUUAAGCCGGCGGUCAAAUGUCGGGGCUCAACCCGGCCUGCCGUCGGAACUGGGCGCCUUGAGUGGGCGAGAAGUAUGCGGAAUGCGUGGUGUAGCGGUGAAAUGCAUAGAUAUCACGCAGAACCCCGAUUGCGAAGGCAGCCUUCCGGCGCCCUACUGACGCUGAGGCACGAAAGCGUGGGUAUCGAACAGG